UAGUCCACGCCAUAAACAAUGGAUACUCGAUGUAGGAUCUUUCAACCGGAUUCAGUGUCUAAGCUAACGCGAUAAGUAUCCCGCCUGGGGAGUACGGUCGCAAGAUUAAAACUCAAAGGAAUAGACGGGGACCCACACAAGCGGUGGAGCAUCUGGUUUAAUUCGAUAAUAAGCGGGGAACCUUACCUGGGCUUGACAUCCCGAGAAUCUCUUAGAAACAAGAGAGUGCCUUUCGGAACUCGGUGACAGGUGCUGCAUGGUUGUCGUCAGCUCGUGCCUUGAGGUGUUCGGUUAAGUCCGUGAACGAGCGCAACCCUUGUCCUGUGUUGUAUUUUUCACAGGAGACUGCCGGCUACAAGUCGGAGGAAGGUAAGGAUGACGUCAAAUCAGCAUGGCCCUUAUGUCCAGGGCUACACAGGUGCUACAAUGGGGGGUACAACGGGUAGCCAAGCAGUAAUGCGGAGCCAAUCCUUCAAAACCCUCCUCAGUUCGGAUUGAGGGCUGCAACUCG
rnacentral:rRNA from 1 species